rnacentral:rRNA from 1 species
AGAGUUUGAUCAUGGCUCAGAUUGAACGCUGGCGGCAGGCCUAACACAUGCAAGUCGAGCGGCAGCGGGAAAGUAGCUUGCUACUUUUGCCGGCGAGCGGCGGACGGGUGAGUAAUGCCUGGGGAUCUGCCCAGUCGAGGGGGAUAACUACUGGAAACGGUAGCUAAUACCGCAUACGCCCUACGGGGGAAAGCAGGGGACCUUCGGGCCUUGCGCGAUUGGAUGAACCCAGGUGGGAUUAGCUAGUUGGUGAGGUAAUGGCUCACCAAGGCGACGAUCCCUAGCUGGUCUGAGAGGAUGAUCAGCCACACUGGAACUGAGACACGGUCCAGACUCCUACGGGAGGCAGCAGUGGGGAAUAUUGCACAAUGGGGGAAACCCUGAUGCAGCCAUGCCGCGUGUGUGAAGAAGGCCUUCGGGUUGUAAAGCACUUUCAGCGAGGAGGAAAGGUUGGUAGCUAAUAACUGCCAGCUGUGACGUUACU